AUUGAACGCUGGCGGCAGGCCUAACACAUGCAAGUCGAGCGAGCGGCGGACGGGGGAGGAAUGUCUGUGAAACUGCCUGAUGGAGGGGGAGAACAACUGGAAACGGUAGCUAAUACCGCAUACCCUCAGAUGUGCCCAGAUGGGAUUAGCUAGUAGGGGGGGUAAUGGCUCACCUAGGCGACGAUCCCUAGCUGGUCUGAGAGGAUGACCAGCCACACUGUAACUGAGACACGGUCCAGACUCCUACGGGAGGCAGCAGUGGGGAAUAUUGCACAAUGGGCGCAAGCCUGAUGCAGCCAUGCCGCGUGUGUGAAGAAGGCCUUCGGGUUGUAAAGCACUUUCAGCGGGGAGGCGUUACCCGCAGAAGAAGCACCGGCUAACUCCGUGCCAGCAGCCGCGGUAAUUC
rnacentral:rRNA from 1 species